rnacentral:lncRNA from 1 species
GGUCCCUGUCCUUUGUUCUGUUAUCUUGCAGUGGUUGAAUGUAGGUGGGGAGACCCCAGAGGUGAGGGGCAGAUGGGGGGAGGUGUAAUCUGGGCAGGAAGGGCCUGGGGCCGCUUCUGAUUAGCACCUCCCUGUUUGCUGGGAGCUGUUUCAUUAACAUUUCUUUGGGACAGGCUCUGGGCCUUGGGGACAUUAACAUUUCAAUUUCCCCGAGGGCUGCUCUGCUUUCCGGGGCUCCAUUCUCCAUGUGGCCUUCAGUUUUUAUCUUACUACACUAACUACCUCUCUUUAAAUCUGGCUUCACCACGAUGGAAGAGCAUCUAGGAGAAGACACCUGCCAGGGUAGAGAGGCCAGAGAAAUCCCAAGGGUUCCCACUAACCCCUGCAGUAGCUGUUAGGUUGGUGGCGACUUAGUGGCAACUUAGAACAAAGCAGCCCGCACCGGAAAAGAACAUCAAUCAGAUGCUGGCUGAAAUGCCUGUCAAUCAGCCAGAUCUCCCGACUAACGCCUGUCAAUCAGCAGGACCCCCUGGCCAAUCCUGGAAUUCAGCCAACUCCCCUGACCAACUCCAAGGGGCCAAGGGACCCUAAAAACACCUUUUCCUGUCCCAAGCCCUUCCCUUCCUGCUGUAAGCCCCAUAAAAGUCCAGUCCGGUCGAGCUUCCACGCGGUUUCUCCUCAGACCCUUCUCCUGUCCCCUCUGUGGGAGUGAUAUCUCAAUAAAGCCUGUUCAGCGGCCCUUUUAAAUCUGCGUCCUUUGGCCAUUGCCUGCCCCCACUGAUCUGACACCAGACAUUGAG